GUUCAAUAAGCCCAGAAGGUUGAUCCCUGAUUAGCCUGUUCAAUAAGCCCAGAAGGUUCAUCCCUGAUUAGCCUGUUCAAUAGGCCCAGUUUUACCAGAGUGUAAAGGUUCAUCCCUGAUUAGCCUGUUCAAUAAGCCCAGUUUUACCAGAGUGUAAAGGUUCAUCCCUGAUUAGCCUGUUCAAUAAGCCCAGAAGGUUCAUCCCUGAUUAGCCUCUUCAAUAAGCCCAGAAGGUUCAUCCCUGAUUAGCCUCUUCAAUAAGCCCAGUUUUACCAGAGUGUAAAGGUUCAUCCCUGAUUAGCCUGUUCAAUAAGCCCAGUUUUAUCAGAGUGUAAAGGUUCAUCCCUGAUUAGCCUGUUCAAUAAGCCCAGUUUUAUCAGAGUGUAAAGGUUCAUCCCUGAUUAGCCUGUUCAAUAAGCCCAGUUUUACCAGAGUGUAAAGGUUCAUCCCUGAUUAGCCUGUUCAAUAAGCCCAGUUUUACCAGAGUGUAAAGGUUCAUCCCUGAUUAGCCUGUUCAAUAAGCCCAGUUUUAUCAGAGUGUAAAGGUUCAUCCCUGAUUAGCCUGUUCAAUAAGCCCAGUUUUACCAGAGUGUAAAGGUUCAUCCCUGAUUAGCCUGUUCAAUAAGCCCAGUUUUAUCAGAGUGUGGCUCAAUUAAUAACAUGGUCUGCAUUUAUCAUCACAGGUG